UAUCUCUGUAGAGUCUGCAUAUCAAUAAGCGGAGGAAAAGAAACUAACAAGGAUUCCCUUAGUAACGGCGAGUGAAGCGGGAAGAGCUCAAAUUUGAAAUCUUCAAGGUUCUACCUUGACGAAUUGUAGUUUAAAGAAGUGUUUUCUGUUAGAUGAGUAGCAAAAGUUCCUUGGAAUGGGACAUCAUAGAGGGUGAGAAUCCCGUAUUUGGUUAUUCAUUCUAGCUUUGUGAUACACUUUCAAAGAGUCGGAUUGUUUGGGAAUGCAGUCCAAAAUGGGUGGUAAAUUUCAUCUAAAGCUAAAUAUUGGCGAGAGACCGAUAGCGAACGAGUACCGUGAGGGAAAGAUGAAAAGAACUUUGAAAAGAGAGUUAAACAGUACGUGAAAUUGUCAAAAGGGAAGCGUUUGACACCAGUGUUGUUUUUCCGAAAAUCAAUUACGAAUGGCUUGAUUUUGUGUUGUAUUGACCUUAUCAGCUUUCUGCACUUUUUUCGAGUCUUUCUUAAUGCACUUUUCGGUUAACAAGUCAACAUCAAUUUCUUUUGUCGUAAAAGAGUAUUCGGAAGGUGGCUUUCUUUUCGGAGAAAGUGUUUAUAGCCCUAUACUUCUACAAUCGGAGAGAUUGAGGUCUGCAGCGUAGAUCCUUCGGGGUUAGAUACACUUGUGCUAAGUUGUAGCUUUUCAUAGACAACUUGUUGACUAUGUUUAGUCAUGCGGCUUACUCGCUUGUGCUAUUUUACCUACGCUUAGGAUGUUGACUGAUAUGUAGUCGUA
rnacentral:rRNA from 1 species